UCGCCCUGGCCCAGCUCCUCGUGGAGCAGAACUUCCCAGCCAUUGCCAUCCACCGUGGGAUGCCCCAGGAGCAGAGGCUUUCUCGGUAUCAGCAGUUUAAAGAUUUUCAGUGAUGAAUUCUUGUGGCAACCAACCUACUUGGCCGAAGCAAGGGCAUUGAACGGGAGAACAUUGCCUUUAACUAUGACAUACCUGAAGAUUCUGACACCUACCUGCAUCGGGUAAGCCCCACACC